rnacentral:lncRNA from 1 species
AUGCCUGACUUUUAUUUUUCAUUCUUUCCCUUUCACAGAAUCCAGCAUGCAACAAUUGUUUCUGAAACCUUUCCCUGCCAGCUGAAUAGCCUUCUAGACACACAUCAAAGAGUAGCUGAAAAAAAAAAAAAUCUUCACAUAUCGGAUGCUUAUGACAAAACUAUUUUCGUCAACACACUGGACGGAGAGAAAUGGAUACUCACCAUUUCCAAACGGUUAUCUGUGCUGGUUCCUCGUCCCCGGAGGCACGGCAGAGGCGGCGGCCGGGCUGUCUGUCCUGCAGGAUCCACAGACCUGUGUACAACACGUAAAGAGGACAACAAAGCGAGAGGUGCCCGGGUGCUUUUCCUUGCAAACCUGCGAGGAGCCGGUCACUCUUGUCUGACUGCUACAGCAGCUCACAAGAAUUCUCCAGUUGCGUCCCGUGACUUUCCUGCUGACCUCCUGAUUCCCUACUGUGACCUGCAAGACGAACCCUCACCCUACUCCCUACUCCCGUUCUGGCCUGACCCUGACCUCACCUGGAAUCCACCUGCUCGCCCGGCACGGCCUCAUGUCGGCCUUCCCGGCCUUUCAAGCUCUCCUCCAGCUGCGGGGCGAGCUGUCCCCUCUGCCUAGGGUGUCCCCCACCUCUGUCUGCACAGGCGGCUCCUUCACGUCAUCCGUGCUCCUCUUCAAAGGCCACUGCCCACAGAACACUUCCUUCUAGACAGACACUUAUGUAUUGACUUAUCUAAGUUGACGUCUGGUUUUGCUUUCUGUUCGUUGAAUGUAAUACUUUCAGAACAUCUCUCAUUUUACUACACUCUUCUAUUAUAUGUCUCCUCCCACCAGCACAUAGACUCAUACUUUUCUCCCCAUGCUUAGAACACUGUGUUGCAUAAAACAGGCGCGCAUAUAUUUGCUGAAUGAAUGAAUGCAUAAAUAACUAUAAAUAUAGUAAAGUAUAAAAAUAGUUUAUUUGAGGGGAAUCACCUAAGUUUAUCAAUAAAAAAAUUAUUAAAGUCGUUCCA